rnacentral:sRNA from 2 species
CGCCCGUCAAACCACGAAAGUCAGCAAUGCCCAAAGCCGGUGGCCUAACCGUAAGGAGGGAGCCGUUUAAGGUAGGGUUGAUGAUUGGGGUUAAGUCGUAACAAGGUAUCCCUACCGGAAGGUGGGGAUGGAUCACCUCCUUUCUAAGGAGAAAGGCAUUAAAUGCAAAUAACCAAAUUACUCAUCAUAUUCAGUUUUGAGAGACUUAAAAACUCUCAUAUAUAUUAAACAUAUAUAAUAAGAUCUUUGAAAAGUAGAUAAUUUUCUGUCGAAAGAAAAAAAUAGGUUAAGGAAGAAAGGGCGCACAGUGGAUGCCUAGGCACUAAGAGCCGAUGAAGGACGCAACUAACGGCGAAACGCCAUGGGGAGCAGUAAGUACGCGACGAUCCAUGGAUAUCCGAAUGGGGAAACCCGCCAUGUAGAAGACAUGGCAUCUGUUAAUAAACAGAGGGGAUACGCAGUGAACUGAAAUAUCUAAGUAACUGCAGGAAAAGAAAGUAAAUAACGAUUCUGCUAGUAGCGACGAGCGAACGCGGAAGAGCCCAAGAUACCAAAUACUAGUUACAAAACUUUAUGUGAGAAGAAUAACCUGGGAAGGUUAACCAAAGAAGGUGAAAGUCCUGUAAUCGAAGCAUAAAGACUAGGGUAUCUGAAGAGUACAGCGAGACACGAGGAAUCUUGUUGGAAGAUGCGAGGACCAUCUCGUAAGGCUAAAUACUACUUAGUGACCGAUAGUGAACCA